rnacentral:rRNA from 1 species
CUCGAAAUCCUCUGGCGGGGGGAUUCAGUCGGGAGGGGCGGAGGUGCACGCGCCGGUCGAACCGCGACGGACCCUUUUUUCCGGGGCCGGGCCGGUGGCACUGUCUCCGUCUCACCCGACGCACUUCCCUCCCGCACUAAGGACGCCGCAGCCGGUCGGGUAGCUGCGCGAGUCGGCCAUGAGGUCGGGCGCCGGCAGGUGGCCGGUGGCGUCGGUCUCGCCUUCGGGCGGGGUCCCCGCCGCCGGUUGUUAGCCAGCCCGCACCGUGGCGCGACACCCGACCGAGGUUGGAAUCGGUCCCCGCAUGGGGACCCGCCGUCCCCUUCCGCGGGCACGUCCCGCGGGAGCGGGCGCUCCGGCAGGCGUCACCGCGGCGUCGCCACGUCACUCCCCGUAGUGGCCGGUGCGCCGUGGUCGCCGUUGGUUUUUCGGAUGCGUCCCGCAGGGGCGCAGGCGGCUGGCGGCGAGUAGGUCGGUCACCCACCCGACCCGUCUUGAAACACGGACCAAGGAGUCUAACAUGUGCGCGAGUCACGGGGUCUUGAACAGGCCCAGAGGCGCAAUGAAAGUGAAGGUCGGCCUCGACGUCGACUGAGUUGGGAUUCCUCUUCCCCGCCACGUGCGAGGGGGGGGAAGCACCAACGACCCGUCCCAUCCGAUUUAUCGGUCGGGCGGAGUCUGAGCGUACACGUUGGGACCCGAAAGAUGGUGAACUAUGCCUGGGCAGGACGAAGCCAGAGGAAACUCUGGUGGAGGUCCGUAGCGGUUCUGACGUGCAAAUCGAUCGUCAGACCCGGGUAUAGG